CAGUUUCUUCUUAUGUUCAUCUCAUCCUUGAAUGCUUUUAUAAAACUUGUUUCGUUCAUCUGAGCUUCACAACUGCCCAAUGAUGGAUGCUUGGAAAUGGGACAGGAUGUGAUGGAUGAUGUGACAGCUUGGAAAUGGCAGGUCACAGAGGUUGAAGGUUAACAAAAACCAAUUCUGAUCCAGUCUAAGCAACAAGAACAUUUCCGUGUGCCUGGGCUGAGCUUGGGGAUCCUCAUACAACUCUGCGAGGCAGGUGCUAUAAUGACACCCAUUUUACAGACACAGAAACUGAAGCUUGGUGAGGCUGAAUUUACUACACAUCAGGGAUCUGUGUAACACCUCAUCAGAAGAAAGGACUCUGCAGAUAAGACCAGGAGUAGAAAACCACCACCUGGAUGGCUUCUUAGGCUCCUACUGGAACCAACAUUCAGAGGAUCCAGAGGAGGAUUUCUGGGCUCUCUCUCUCCUGCUCAGUCAUUCAACAAACACCCAUUUGAUGCCUAUAGUGAGCAAAGCACCUGGACAAAAGCUGUGGGGUAAUUCAGAGAGCAGCCGCAUUCCUGGCCUGCAGGAACUUGGGCUCCAAGUGGGAGAUGGGACAUGGGGAUGACUGAAUAUGGAUAUGAGGAUGAGUGGAACGAGCACUGGGGUGUAGACAAGCACAGGACAGCAGGGUCCCUGGGCCUGAAGAAUUCUGGAGGAGAUACCAAUUGGGACAGCCUCAGUGAAGGAGCAGUGCUUUGAUCUGGCCAAGUCUCGAAGGAGGGGCAUUUCUAGUGGAAAGAAGAGGUAUGAAAUAGUCAAGGGAAAAGAAGCCUAGGCUGGCAGAUAAAACCAGAGUGGGGGUGAGCUCUGAUCGUUCGCCAAGUGCCACGUUGAGGGUAUGCGUGAUCUCAUUCACUCUCACAAGUCCCCCUCUGAGGGAGCCACCACCACUCCCCUGACCCGCACACAGGUAAGGCUCGGAGGCUUCCAGAGCUUACGUGGCACGCCCAAGGGCACGUGGGAUGAAGCGCGCAGCAGGCGGCUCUGGGAGAUGUUCGGUGUGCUAACCUUUAGGUUUGCCUGCUUGAAGGGGUAGUGCAUCCCACAGGUCCAUCCCCACAAGAGCUCAGGACAGGAAGAGGAGCCUUGAAGGGGAGGGAGAUGAGGGGCAGAGGGAAGCACUGGGCACUCACCUCUG